UGGGGAAUAUUGGACAAUGGGCGGAAGCCUGAUCCAGCAACGCCGCGUGAGGGAUGACGGCCCUUCGGGUUGUAAACCUCUUUUCAGUACCGACGAAGCGAAAGUGACGGUAGGUACAGAAGAAGGACCGGCCAACUACGUGCCAGCAGCCGCGGUAAUACGUAGGUCCGAGCGUUGUCCGGAAUUAUUGGGCGUAAAGGGCUCGUAGGCGGUUUGUCGCGUCGGGAGUGAAAACACGGGCUUAACUCGUUGCUUGCUUUCGAUACGGGCAGACUAGAGGUAUGCAGGGGAGAAUGGAAUUCCUGGUGUAGCGGUGAAAUGCGCAGAUAUCAGGAGGAACACCGGUGGCGAAGGCGGUUCUCUGGGCAUUACCUGACGC
rnacentral:rRNA from 1 species